rnacentral:rRNA from 1 species
GACGAACGCUGGCGGCGUGCCUAAUACAUGCAAGUCGAACGCACAGUCCAUACCGUAGCUUGCUACACCAUAGACUGUGAGUUGCGAACGGGGGAGUAACGCGUAGGUAACCUGCCUGGUAGCGGGGGAUAACUAUUGGAAACGACAGCUAGUACCGCAUAAUAUUAAUUAUUGCAUGGUAAUUAAUUGAAAGGUGCAAUUGAACCACUACUAGAUGGCCCUUCGGUGUAUUAGGUUGUAGGCGAGGUAACGGCGCACCUAGGGGGGGAUACGUAGCCGACCUGAGAGGGUGGGCGGCCACACUGGGAGGGUGACACGGCCCAGAGGCAUACGGGAGGGAGCAGGAGGGAAACUGCGGCAAGGGACGGAAGACUGACCGAGCAACGCCGAGGGAGUGAAGAAGGUUGUCGGAUCGUGAAGCACGGUUGUAAGGGAGGAACGGGUGUGAGACUGGAACGUUCACACUGUGACGGUAACUGACCAGAAAGGGACGGCUAACUACGUG